rnacentral:rRNA from 1 species
UACUGAGUGGCAGACGGGUGAGUAACAUGUGGGAAUCUGCCUUGUGGUUCAGGACAACAUUGGGAAACCGAUGCUAAUACUGGAUAAGCCCUUACGGGGAAAGUUUUAAUGCCAUAAGAUGAGCCCGCAUUUGAUUAGUUAGUUGGUGAGGUAAUGGCUCACCAAGACAAUGAUCAAUAGCUGAUCUGAGAGGAUGAUCAGCCACACUGGGACUGAGACACGGCCCAGACUCCUACGGGAGGCAGCAGUGGGGAAUCUUGCACAAUGGAGGAAACUCUGAUGCAGCGAUGCCGCGUGAGUGAAGAAGGCCUUUGGGUUGUAAAGCUCUUUUGUAGGGGAAGAUAAUGACUGUACCCUAAGAAUAAGGUCCGGCUAACUUCGUGCCAGCAGCCGCGGUAAUACGAAGGGACCUAGCGUAGUUCGGAAUUACUGGGCGUAAAGCGCGCGUAGGCCGUUGAGUUAGUUAAUUGUGAAAUCCCAAAGCUUAACUUUGGAACUGCAAUUAAAACUGCU